AGUUUGAUCCUGGCUACAGGACGAACGGCUGGCGGCGUGCCUAACACAUGCAAGUCGAGCGGGGAUAUACUGGAUGAGAGCUUCGGCAGGAUUCCGAUAUAUUCUAGCGGCGGACGGGUGAGUAACGCGUGAACAAUCUGUCUUUCACAGGGGGAUAACACUUGGAAACAGGUGCUAAUACCGCAUAAGACCACGGAACCGCAUGGUAGAGGGGUCAAAGGAGCGAUCCGGUGAGAGGUGAGUUCGCGUCUGAUUAGCUAGUUGGUGAGGUAACGGCCCACCAAGGCGACGAUCAGUAGCCGACCUGAGAGGGUGAUCGGCCACAUUGGAACUGAGACACGGUCCAAACUCCUACGGGAGGCAGCAGUGGGGAAUAUUGGGCAAUGGGCGAAAGCCUGACCCAGCAACGCCGCGUGAGGGAAGAAGGUUUUCGGAUCGUAAACCUCUGUCCUUGGUGAAGAGGAAGAGACGGUAGCCAAGGAGGAAGCCCCGGCUAACUACGUGCC
rnacentral:rRNA from 1 species